rnacentral:rRNA from 1 species
UACGGGGGGGGCGAGCGUUGUUCGGAAUUACUGGGCGUAAAGGGUUUGUAGGUGGUCUGCUAAGUCAGACGUGAAAUCCCUCAGCUUAACUGGGGAACUGCGUCUGAUACUGGCGGACUUGAGGACAGGAGAGGAACGCGGAAUUCCGGGUGUAGCGGUGAAAUGCGCAGAUAUCGGGAGGAACACCGGUGGCGAAGGCGGUUCUCUGGGCCUGACCUGACGCUGAGGAGCGAAAGCGUGGGGAGCGAACAGG